CCUACGGUGCGCUGCAGUGAGGAAUAUUGGUCAAUGGACGCAAGUCUGAACCAGCCAUGCCGCGUGCAGGAAGACGGCUCUAUGAGUUGUAAACUGCUUUUGUACGAGGGUAAACGCAGAUACGCGUAUCUGUCUGAAAGUAUCGUACGAAUAAGGAUCGGCUAACUCCGUGCCAGAAGCCGAGGUAAUACGGAGGAAUCAAGCGUUAUCCGGAUUUAUUGGGUUGAAAGGGUGCGUUGGCGGUCGGAGAAGUUAGAGGUGAAAUCCCGAGGCUCAACUUCGGAAUUGCCUCUGUUACUGUUCGGUUAGAGAGUAGUUGCGGUAGGCGGAAUGUAUGGUGUAGCGGUGAAAUGAUUAGAGAUCAUACAGAACACCGAUUGCGAAGGCAGCUUACCAAGCUACUUCUGACGUUGAGGCACAAAAGCGUGGGGAGCAAACAGGAUUAGAUACCCCAGUAGUC
rnacentral:rRNA from 1 species